GGGCGUGUAGCUCAGCUGGUUAGAGCGCUUCCUUUACACGGAAGAGGUCUCAGGUUCGAUCCCUGACACGCCCA
rnacentral:tRNA from 1 species